UACGUAGGUGGCGAGCGUCGUCCGGAUUUACUGGGCGUAAAGAGCGCGCAGGCGGUCGUACAAGUCGCGUGUGAAAGCCCCCGGCUCAACUGGGGAGGGUCACGCGAUACUGUUCGACUCGAAGGCAGGAGAGGGAAGUGGAAUUCCCGGUGUAGUGGUGAAAUGCGUAGAUAUCGGGAGGAACACCAGUGGCGAAGGCGACUUCCUGGCCUGUUCUUGACGCUGAGGCGCGAAAGCUAGGGUAGCAAACGGG
rnacentral:rRNA from 1 species